rnacentral:rRNA from 1 species
AUUGAACGCUGGCGGCAGGCCUAACACAUGCAAGUCGAGCGAGCGGCGGACGGGUGAGUAAUGUAUGGGGACUGCCCGAUAGAGGGGGAUAACUACUGGAACCGGUGGCUAAUACCGCAUACUAUCGGAUAACCCAUAUGGGAUUAGCGAGUAGGUGGGGUAAAGGAUCACCUAGGCGACGAACUCUAGCUGGUCUGAGAGGAGGAUCAGCCACACUGGGACUGAGACACGGCCCAGAGUCCUACGGAGGCAGCAGUGGGGAAUAUUGCACAAUGGGCGCAAGCCUGAUGCAGCCAUGCCGCGUGUAUGAAGAAGGACUUAGGGUUGUAAAGUACUUUCAGCGGGGAGGCGUUACCCGCAGAAGAAGCACCGGCUAACUCCGUGCCAGCAGCCGCGGUAAUUC